rnacentral:lncRNA from 1 species
CCCUCACCCAGCUGCUGCGGCGGAGAGACGGAGGCCAGCGCGGGGAGCGGAAGCCGGAGCCUGUCGGGAGCGACCCCGGGAAGGCCAGUCCCUCCUGCCGGAGGGAGGCGUGUUGGCGUGCGGCCGGUGGCGGGAUCGAUGGCCACCUGGUAGGCGAUGCUGCUGCGGCGGAGAGACGGAGGCCAGCGCGGGGAGCGGAAGCCGGAGCCUGUCGGGAGCGACCCCGGAAGGCCAGUCCCUCCUGCCGGAGGGAGGCGUGUUGGCGUGCGGCCGGUGGCGGGAUCGAUGGCCACCUGGUAGGCGAUGCUGCUGCGGCGGAGAGACGGAGGCCAGCGCGGGGAGCGGAAGCCGGAGCCUGUCGGGAGCGACCCGGGAAGGCCAGUCCCUCCUGCCGGGGAGGCGUGUUGGCGUGCGGCCGGUGGCGGGAUCGAUGGCCAC